rnacentral:lncRNA from 1 species
UUCUCCUGUCUCGUCACGCGAACUUUCUGCCCCGCCUCAGCCCAUCCAACCCAGUCGACCGAGAGGAGAUUUUGCUUCUUUUGGAGUUUGAAAGCAUUCAGAUUCAGCUCAAGUACUUUCUUUUCUUUUUUGUCUAUGGUUACAAUUGUAAGUGCAGGUACACUUGUUAAACUAUGAACUCAUAAAAGAAGAUAACACUAAAAGAAGAUAACACAUGUCAUUAACCUCUUGAUAGAAAGAUUUCAGUGAAAUAAGAUUAAAUAUGAAAAUGAGUCAAGUAGCUGAUUGAAGGAUGACUUACAAGUGAAACGGAGAGAGGGAAGAAGAGAGAGAGCUCCAGAAAAUAUGUGAAUGGAAUUUUUAGAAUGCCCCAGUUGGGACUAUGGGGCCUGUAUGGUGAAUAAACUUUUCAUAUUGGUAAAGAUUCUAAUUAUAUUCAGAUCCCUGUAAAUUCUAUUUUUAGAGAGUAUUGAGACCCUAUAAGUGAC